GGCAGCAAGAAUAGUUGAAGUUAUGCGAAUAGUUGAAAGUUAAACUUUUAUUUCUGUGCAUAAACUGGCGCAUUUGUCAGCUAAUUUAUAAAAUCGAAUUAAAAGAGAAAGCACAACGGAGAGGGAUCGAGAGAUAGAGAGGAGAGCUAGAUGCAGCUGGCGUCGAUAAAUUCAUUCUUUUGCCAAGAAAUAACUCAAUAAAAGGCAUUGAAUGACAAGAACUUGGCAAACUUUAAGAUAAGUAUAAAUGCCCUUAGAUUUCAAGACAAUAAAUUAAUAGGGGCAUUGCAAAAAGGGCCAGCAGAAAGAGACGAAAGAUGAGCAGAGCAGAGUAAGUGUAGAGCAGCCGAAGCCUGGCAAAAGCGCAGCAAGGAAUUUAAUUUCGAGCGUUGUCAUUAAAGGAAAUGCACAAACGAAACGAAAAGGAGCAGCAAUGCAGCAAAUGCAGCGGAGUGUGGGGGAGACUGAAUAAGCCAAAAGCCAAACGCAUUUCAAAUGCCAUUUUUGUGUCGGCAUCAGACAGCUCUCUCCGCUGUGUGUUAAAAAUGUCGCUUGGCCAAAACAAUUGUUGAUCCCCUGGGCAAAUACAGCUGACAGCCAAUGCAGCCGACGACAGCUUAGCUUAAAUCGUUUUGCUCUGCAUCAACUUCUUUGGCUCAUUGCCCCGUGUCUUGGGCUUUGAUUAAUUGAUAUUUUAGCAAUUGUGGGAUCGUCUGUGGCAUUGCGUUCCAUUCUUUUGUGUUGCGUGUCACAUUUGGCCAUUUAAUUGCUUGUUAGCAAACGUUGAAUGGCAAACAAAGUGUACACAAUGUCAUGGCAAACGUUUUCUGGCUUUCAGCUGCAAAUUAAACUCGUAUUUGUAUUUCGUGCUCAACUGCCAAACAAAUUGGACAUUUGCGUGCCCGAUUUCACGACGACAUAAAAUACAAAUAAGCAGGCAAAAUAGAAAAAA